rnacentral:rRNA from 1 species
AUUGAACGCUGGCGGCAGGCCUAACACAUGCAAGUCGAGCGGAUGAAGGGAGCUUGCUCCUGGAUUCAGCGGCGGACGGGUGAGUAAUGCCUAGGAAUCUGCCUGGUAGUGGGGGAUAACGUCCGGAAACGGGCGCUAAUACCGCAUACGUCCUGAGGAGGAAGGGGGGGAAUCUUGGGACCUACGGCUAUAGGUGGAGCUAAGUCGGAUUAGCUAGUUGGUGGGGUAAAGGCCUACCAAGGCGACGAUCCGUAACUGGUCUGAGAGGAUGAUCAGUCACACUGGAACUGAGACACGGUCCAGACUCCUACGGGAGGCAGCAGUGGGGAAUAUUGGACAAUGGGCGAAAGCCUGAUCCAGCCAUGCCGCGUGUGUGAAGAAGGUCUUCGGAUUGUAAAGCACUUUAAGUUGGGAGGAAGGGCAGUAAGUUAAUACCUUGCUGUUUUGACGUUACCAACAGAAUAAGCACCGGCUAACUUCGUG